rnacentral:rRNA from 1 species
UACAGAGGUGCCAAGCGUUAGGCGGAAUCACUGGGCUUAAAGCGCGUGUAGGUGGACGGGUAAGUAUCUUGUGAAAUCCCACGGCUCAACCGUGGAACUGCUGGAUAUACUGCUUGUCUUGAGGCACUUAGGGGCAGCUGGAACAAAUGGUGGAGCGGUGAAAUGCGUGGAUAUCAUUUGGAACGCCAAAGGCGAAAGCAGGCUGCUGGGAGUGAUCUGACACUGAGACGCGAAAGCCAGGGGAGCGAACGGG